rnacentral:rRNA from 1 species
UACAGAGGGUGCAAGCGUUGUCCGGAUUUAUUGGGCGUAAAGAGCGUGUAGGCGGCCAGAUAGGUCAGCUGUGAAAACUCGAGGCUCAACCUCGAGACGUCGGUUGAAACCAUCUGGCUAGAGUCCGGAAGAGGAGAGUGGAAUUCCAGGUGUAGCGGUGAAAUGCGUAGAUAUCGGGAGGAACACCAGUGGCGAAGGCGACUUCCUGGCCUGUUCUUGACGCUGAGGCGCGAAAGCUAGGGGAGCAAACGGG